AGUAAAAAAAGAGCAACAUACAAUAUAUAAAAAUAAAAUUAAAACAUAAAAUAAAAAUUAAUAGGAAAAUUAUAAAUUUAAAAGAAAAAACGGGAGGUUGUUAAAAAAAAUAAAGUAAUUUUUAUCUUAUAUACUAUUUAUAAACAACAUCCUUGCUUUAAAGAAGAAGGACAUUUGUGUUUAUCUAACUUACCUUUGCAAUGUUUGGAAAGUUGCCCAAUAUGAUCCUGAUAGUAGAAAUAUUAAAAAAUAAAAACCACCUGGUACACUUGGUCUUAGGACAGCCGAAAAGAAUAAUGUAGCCAAACAGAAUAAGGGCGCUAUCUUAAUAAGACCAUCAAAAUUUGGCUUAUCAUUGUCUUCUUGUGUUUUUCGCCCUAAAUCUGUAUUGAUUUUGACAGCUGUUAACUCGCCGCCAGCAGUUGCGCUACCACUAGCUUCCAGUGUUUCUUCGAUAUCAGCUGC
rnacentral:lncRNA from 1 species